rnacentral:lncRNA from 10 species
UUUUGGAAAGAAGACAGGGAUGAAAUAUAAUCAAGCAAUUAACCACCCCCAUCAUCACCAAGAACAACAGUAUCAACAAGAAGAACAGGGACAACAAAACCCACGGAUGAAACAUUCCUUUCUCAGCUCAGAUCUUAUCUGGUGCGUUCUCUCUCUGCUCUGUCUUGGUGUGUGGUUUAGAGAAACAUGGACAACGCUGUUUGGAAGAACAGGGCUUCCCAGGAAUCAACAAUGCCCAAGAAGGAAGGGAUUGUAGAAAUAGCUUAACCCUUUCAUUUACCAACGUGGAAAUUGAAGCCCAGGGAAGGGAAGGGACCGGUCGUGGAAGGGAGAGCCAUCAGCAGAAAGAGACCCUGAGAUCUUCGCCUGGGAUUCCCAGGAAGUCCAGCCCGAGCUGAUUCACAG